rnacentral:rRNA from 1 species
UACAGAGGGGGCAAGCGUUGUUCGGAAUUACUGGGCGUAAAGGGCGCGUAGGCGGCCUUCUAAGUCGAACGUGAAAUCCCCGGGCUCAACCCGGGAACUGCGUCCGAUACUGGAAGGCUUGAAUCCGGGAGAGGGAUGUGGAAUUCCAGGUGUAGCGGUGAAAUGCGUAGACAUCUGGAGGAACACCGGUAGCGAAGGCGACAUCCUGGACCGGUAUUGACGCUGAGGCGCGAAAGCCAGGGGAGCAAACGGG